CCCAUUGUCAAGCAGGGAUCUUCUGCGGUUCUACCGUUGACGGCCACAGUCCUCCUGGGGCCUGAGGGCCAUCCCUGCAUCGAUGCUUCUCUAUGAUCAUCUCAGAAUCCGUGGAAACUAAAUAACGUCGUGUCCGGCACAAUAUUCAUCAAAUGGAAAUGAUACCGAAGUGUUGGUUAAAAUGAUAGAUUCCUUAAAACAGCUUACUGAUUUUCAUUUUUUAAUGGAAGAUAAUUGAUAUUUGAUCCUGGAAUGUUUCAAGUAUAACCAGACAUCCUCUUGCUUUUGUUCCCUUGAAGAAGAUUCUAGUUGGGACUGGAGAGAUGCCUCGGGGAUUAACAGCGCACACUGCUCCAAGUAUCCCUGUUGGGUGGCUCACAACCUUUGAUAACUAAAGCAUACAGGGUAUUCUGAUGUCUUUUUCCUCAGUAGGUAUCUAUAAACACAUGUGUGUACAUCACUCCCCACACCUGUUAAUUUUAAAACAUAACAAAA